UUAGCUAGUUGGUGAGGUAACGGCUCACCAAGGCGACGAUGGGUAACCGGCCUGAGAGGGUGAACGGCCACACUGGGACUGAGACACGGCCCAGACUCCUACGGGAGGCAGCAGUAGGGAAUAUUGCGCAAUGGAGGGAACUCUGACGCAGCGACGCCGCGUGAGCGAUGAAGGUUUUCGGAUCGUAAAGCCCUGUCCUUGGGGAAGAAGGGUGCGAAGCAUCUUGACGGUACCUAAGGAGGAAGCCCCGGCUAACUACGUGCCAGCAGCCGCGGUAAUACGUAGGGGGCAAGCGUUGUCCGGAAUUAUUGGGCGUAAAGGGUGCGUAGGCGGCCUUUUAAGUCAGAUGUGAAAGACCACGGCUUAACCGUGGGGUUGCAUUUGAAACUGGAAGGCUUGAGUAUCGGAGAGGGUAGUGGAAUUCCCAGUGUAGCGGUGGAAUGCGUAGAUAUUGGGAGGAACACCAGUGGCGAAGGCGACUACCUGGACGAAAACUGACGCUGAGGCACGAAAGCUAGGGGAGCAAACAGGAUUAGAUACCCUGGUAGUCCUAGCCGUAAACGAUGGGUACUAGGUGUAGGAGGUUUCGAUACCUUCUGUGCCGCAGUUAAC
rnacentral:rRNA from 1 species